CUGAGAAACGGCUACCACAUCCAAGGAAGGCAGCAGGCGCGCAAAUUACCCACUCCCGGAACGGGGAGGUAGUGACGAAAAAUAACGAUACGGGACUCAUCCGAGGCCCCGUAAUCGGAAUGAGAACACUUUAAAACCUUUAAACGAGGAUCAAUUGGAGGGCAAGUCUGGUGCCAGCAGCCGCGGUAAUUCCAGCUCCAAUAGCGUA
rnacentral:ncRNA from 1 species